GCUGGGCGUGGUGGUGCAUGCCUGCAAUCCCAGCUACUCAGGAGGCUGAGGCAGGAGAAUCGCUUGAACCUGGGCAGCAGAGGUUGCAGUGAGCCGAGAUGGUGCCACUGCACUCCAGCCUGGGUGACAAAGUGAGAUUCUGUCUCAA
ensembl:misc_RNA Metazoa_SRP Metazoan signal recognition particle RNA